CCUACGGGAGGCAGCAGUGGGGAAUAUUGCGCAAUGGGCGAAAGCCUGACGCAGCGACGCCGCGUGAGGGAUGAAGGUCUUCGGAUCGUAAACCUCUGUCAGCAGGGAAGAACGGUCACUGUGCUAAUCAGCAGUGAAUUGACGGUACCUGCAAAGGAAGCACCGGCUAACUCCGUGCCAGCAGCCGCGGUAAUACGGAGGGUGCGAGCGUUAAUCAGAAUUACUGGGCGUAAAGCGCUCGUAGGCGGUAUGUCAAGUCAAUGGUGAAAUCCCCGGGCUCAACGUAGGAACUGCCUUUGAAACUGGCAAACUGGAGUGUGUGAGAGGAUAGUGGAAUUCCAGGUGUAGGGGUGAAAUGCGUAGAUAUCUGGAGGAACAUCAGUGGCGAAGGCGACUAUCUGGCACAUAACUGACGCUGAGGAGCGAAAGCGUGGGUAGCAAACAGGAUUAGAUACCCUAGUAGUC
rnacentral:rRNA from 1 species